AAAUGAAUUGACGGGACCGCACAAGCGGUGGAUGAUGUGGUUAAUUCGAUGCAACGCGAAAACCUUACCCACCUUUGACAUGUACGGAAUCCUUUAGAGAUAGAGGAGUGCUCGAAAGAGAACCGUAACACAGGUGCUGCAUGGCUGUCGUCAGCUCGUGUCGUGAGAUGUUGGGUUAAGUCCCGCAACGAGCGCAACCCUUGUCAUUAGUUGCUACAUUCAGUUGGGCACUCUAAUGAGACUGCCGGUGACAAACCGGAGGAAGGUGGGGAUGACGUCAAGUCCUCAUGGCCCUUAUAGGUGGGGCUACACACGUCAUACAAUGGAUGGUACAAAGGGUCGCCAACCCGCGAGGGGGAGCCAAUCCCAUAAAGCCAUUCGUAGUCCGGAUCGCAGUCUGCAACUCGACUGCGUGAAGUCGGAAUCGCUAGUAAUCGUGGAUCAGAAUGUCACGGUGAAUACGUUCCCGGGUCUU
rnacentral:rRNA from 1 species